rnacentral:rRNA from 1 species
AGUGAACGCUGGCGGUAGGCCUAACACAUGCAAGUCGAACGGCAGCACAGUAAGAGCUUGCUCUUACGGGUGGCGAGUGGCGGACGGGUGAGGAAUACAUCGGAAUCUACUUUUUCGUGGGGGAUAAAGUAGGGAAACUUACGCUAAUACUGCAUACGACCUACGGGUGAAAUCAGGGGAUCUUCGGACCUUGCGCGAUUGAAUGAGCCGAUGUCGGAUUAGCUAGUUGGCGGGGUAAAGGCCCACCAAGGCGACGAUCCGUAGCUGGUCUGAGAGGAUGAUCAGCCACACUGGAACUGAGACACGGUCCAGACUCCUACGGGAGGCAGCAGUGGGGAAUAUUGGACAAUGGGCGCAAGCCUGAUCCAGCCAUGCCGCGUGGGUGAAGAAGGUCUUCGGGUUGUAAAGCCCUUUUGGUGGGAAAGAAAAGCAGCAGGUUAAUACCCCGCUGUUCUGACGGUACCCAAAGAAUAAGCACCGGCUAACUUCGUG